rnacentral:tRNA from 1 species
GGGUCGUUAGCUCAGUUGGUAGAGCAGCGGACUUUUAAUCCGUUGGUCGCGCGUUCGAGCCGCGCACGGCCCA